GUGGGUGUAGCUCAGCUGGUAGAGCACCUGGUUGUGGUCCAGGAAGUCGCGGGUUCGAGUCCCGUCACUCACCCCA
rnacentral:tRNA from 6 species